rnacentral:rRNA from 1 species
AGAGUUUGAUCCUGGCUCAGGAUGAACGCUGGCGGCGUGCUUAACACAUGCAAGUCGAACGAACUUUCGGGUUAGUGGCGGACGGGUGAGUAACGCGUGAGAAUCUGCCCUCAGGAGGGGGAUAACGGUUGGAAACGACCGCUAAUACCCCAUAUGCCGAGAGGUGAAAUGAAUUUCGCCUGAGGAUGAGCUCGCGUCUGAUUAGUUAGUUGGUGGGGUAAUGGCCUACCAAGACAUCGAUCAGUAGCUGGUCUGAGAGGAUGAUCAGCCACACUGGGACUGAGACACGGCCCAGACUCCUACGGGAGGCAGCAGUGGGGAAUUUUCCGCAAUGGGCGAAAGCCUGACGGAGCAACGCCGCGUGAGGGAUGAAGGCCUCUGGGCUGUAAACCUCUUUUAUCAAGGAAGAAGAUCUGACGGUACUUGAUGAAUAAGCCACGGCUAAUUCCGUGCCAGCAGCCGCGGUAAUACGGGAGUGGCAAGCGUUAUCCGGAAUUAUUGGGCGUAAAGCGUCCGCAGGCGGUCUGUCAAGUCUGCUGUUAAAGCGUGGAGCUUAACUCCAUUUCGGCAGUGGAAACUGACAGACUAGAGUGUGGUAGGGGCAGAGGGAAUUCCCGGUGUAGCGGUGAAAUGCGUAGAUAUCGGGAAGAACACCAGUGGCGAAGGCGCUCUGCUGGGCCAUAACUGACGCUCAUGGACGAAAGCCAGGGGAGCGAAAGGGAUUAGAUACCCCUGUAGUCCUGGCCGUAAACGAUGAACACUAGGUGUCGGGGGAAUCGACCCCCUCGGUGUCGUAGCCAACGCGUUAAGUGUUCCGCCUGGGGAGUACGCACGCAAGUGUGAAACUCAAAGGAAUUGACGG